UUUCUCCCCAAGCAGCACAUAUACUAAAAUUGGAACGAUACAGAGAAGAUUAGCAUGGCCCCUGUGCACGAUAUGAUUCUUCAAAGUAUGCAUGUGUCGGGUUUUU
ensembl:snRNA U6 U6 spliceosomal RNA